rnacentral:tRNA from 1 species
UUUACAUAGUUUAAUAAUAAAACAUUAUAUUUUCAAUAUAAAAAUAGUCUCAACUUGUAAAU